rnacentral:rRNA from 1 species
GACGAACGCUGGCGGCGUGCUUAACACAUGCAAGUCGAACGGAAAGGCCCUGCUUUUGUGGGGUGCUCGAGUGGCGAACGGGUGAGUAACACGUGAGUAACCUGCCCUUGACUUUGGGAUAACUUCAGGAAACUGGGGCUAAUACCGGAUAGGAGCUCCUGCUGCAUGGUGGGGGUUGGAAAGUUUCGGCGGUUGGGGAUGGACUCGCGGCUUAUCAGCUUGUUGGUGGGGUAGUGGCUUACCAAGGCUUUGACGGGUAGCCGGCCUGAGAGGGUGACCGGCCACAUUGGGACUGAGAUACUGCCCAGACUCCUACGGGAGGCAGCAGUGGGGAAUAUUGCACAAUGGGCGGAAGCCUGAUGCAGCAACGCCGCGUGCGGGAUGACUGCCUUCGGGUUGUAAACCGCUUUCGCCUGUGACGAAGCGUGAGUGACGGUAAUGGGUAAAGAAGCACGGGCUAACUACGUG